UGUGGGAGCUGGCUUGCCAGCGAUAGCGAUUUUUCAGUCAACCAUCAAUGUUGACUGAACUGCCGCCAUCGCUGGCAAGCCAGCUCCCACA
rnacentral:misc_RNA from 1 species